rnacentral:rRNA from 1 species
GACGAACGCUGGCGGCGUGCUUAACACAUGCAAGUCUACGAGAAAAAGGUAGCAAUAUCUUGAUUAAAGUGGCGCACGGGUGAGUAACACGUAAGCAAUCUACCCUUAGAUUUGGAAUAACCUCGAGAAAUCGGGGCUAAUACCGAAUAAUGCAGCGGCACCGCAUGGUGAUGUUGUUAAAGUUUCGAUGUCUAGGGAUGAGCUUGCGUCUGAUUAGCUAGUUGGUGAGGUAACGGCUCACCAAGGCUGCGAUCAGUAGCUGGUCUGAGAGGAUGAUCAGCCACACAGGAACUGAGACACGGUCCAGACUCCUACGGGAGGCAGCAGUGAGGAAUAUUGGGCAAUGCCCGCAAGGGUGACCCAGCAACGCCGCGUGGAGGAUGAAUGCCGUAAGGUUGUAAACUCCUGUUAGAGGGGACGAAUGAUUCCGAUUGCAUCGGAAGUUGACUGUACCCUCAGAGAAAGCCCCGGCUAACUACGUGCCAGCCGCCGCGGUAAGAC